rnacentral:rRNA from 1 species
AGAGUUUGAUCCUGGCUCAGAACGAACGCUGGCGGCAGGCUUAACACAUGCAAGUCGAGCGGGCCCGCAAGGGUCAGCGGCGGACGGGUUAGUAACGCGUGGGAACGUGCCUUCUGCUCUGGAACAGCCCUGGGAAACUGGGGGUAAUACCGGAUGUGCCCUGAGGGGGAAAGGUUUACUGGCAGGAGAUCGGCCCGCGUCUGAUUAGGUAGUUGGUGUGGUAAUGGCGCACCAAGCCGACGAUCAGUAGCUGGUCUGAGAGGAUGAUCAGCCACAUUGGGACUGAGACACGGCCCAAACUCCUACGGGAGGCAGCAGUGGGGAAUAUUGGGCAAUGGACGCAAGUCUGACCCAGCCAUGCCGCGUGGAGGAUGAAGGCCCUCUGGGUUGUAAACUUCUUUUAUCUGGGACGAAACCCUCUUAUUCUUAAGAGAUUGACGGUACCGGAGGAAUAAGCACCGGCUAACUCCGUGCCAGCAGCCGCGGUAAUACGGAGGGUGCAAGCGUUAUCCGGAUUCACUGGGUUUAAAGGGUGCGUAGGCGGGUAAGUAAGUCAGUGGUGAAAUCUCCAAGCUUAACUUGGAAACUGCCGUUGAUACUAUUUAUCUUGAAUAUCGUGGAGGUAAGCGGAAUAUGUCAUGUAGCGGUGAAAUGCUUAGAUAUGACAUAGAACACCAAUUGCGAAGGCAGCUUACUACGCGGUCAUUGACGCUGAGGCACGAAAGCGUGGGGAGCAAACAGGAUUAGAUACCCCCGUAGUCC